UACGUAGGUGGCAAGCGUUGUCCGGAUUUACUGGGCGUAAAGAGCGCGCAGGCGGUCGUUCAAGUCGCGUGUGAAAGCCCCCGGCUCAACUGGGGAGGGUCACGCGAUACUGAUCGACUCGAAGGCAGGAGAGGGUAGUGGAAUUCCCGGUGUAGUGGUGAAAUGCGUAGAUAUCGGGAGGAACACCGGUGGCGAAGGCGGCAUCCUGGACCGGUAUUGACGCUGAGGAGCGAAAGCCAGGGGAGCAAACGGG
rnacentral:rRNA from 1 species